rnacentral:tRNA from 1 species
GCCGAAGUGGCGGAAUGGUAGACGCAGCAGACUCAAAAUCUGCCGUACGCAAGUGCAUGAGGGUUCAAGUCCCUCCUUCGGCA